GACGAACGCUGGCGGCGUGCUUAACACAUGCAAGUCGAACGGUGAACUCCGCUUGCGGGGGGAUCAGUGGCGAACGGGUGAGUAACACGUGGGCAACCUGCCCUCAGCUCUGGGAUAACUCCAAGAAAUUGGGGCUAAUACCGGAUAUGACCGCUGACCGCAUGGUCUGGUGGUGGAAAGAUUUAUCGGCUGGGGAUGGGCCCGCGGCCUAUCAGCUUGUUGGUGGGGUAGUGGCCUACCAAGGCGACGACGGGUAGCCGGCCUGAGAGGGUGACCGGCCACACUGGGACUGAGACACGGCCCAGACUCCUACGGGAGGCAGCAGUGGGGAAUAUUGCGCAAUGGGCGAAAGCCUGACGCAGCGACGCCGCGUGGGGGAUGACGGCCUUCGGGUUGUAAACCUCUUUCAGCAGGGACGAAGCGAAAGUGACGGUACCUGCAGAAGAAGCACCGGCCAACUACGUA
rnacentral:rRNA from 1 species